CAGCUCACUUAAAGUAUUUGUAGUGUUUGAGUCCCUUGUGUUUUCAGUCUACACCUGUAUCGUGCAGCAGCUCUUUCUCCUUUCAGCAGGCAGACAUUUUUAUUUCAACAGUGAUGGCAGCAGCAGGCGUCUCCAAAAGCAGAUCACUGAGUGGUGUCAGAAACACCAAAGUUGUAAUCAUCUUCUUGCUGCUGUCCCUGGUUUAUGAGGCAAAUUCACAGACAACUGAGGAAUAUUUGAAUAAAAUCAAGGCCGCCUUAGGAGAAGCUGAUGAAAAACUACAGUUUCUUCAGUCUAUCCAGGAUAUAAUAAAGACAUCAUCAUUUUCAGAGGAUUUUCCACCACUGAUGGAUUUCACAAAUAACUUGAUUCAUUUCAUUGAGAAAUCCAAGAUGCUGUUAGAAAGAAAGGGAAAAGAAUUUGAAAGAAAUGAAGGACAAACUAAAACUCAGUGGAAUGAACUUUAAACGUUUCUGUCUAACUUCUUUAAAAUAAAUACAUUUUAAGCAGAGCAUUUAGCUAUGCUUUAGACUUUGGUAUGAUUGUUUUUCAUUGUUGUUACUAUUUUGAUUAAAGAGGUGGAUGGGACAUGUAUUUGUUUUGCUUUUACCUUUCCUGAACUGUGAUUUGUUUUCUUUGCUGAAACUCUGCAACAUUAUGUUUUGUCAACUUAUGUUGUUUUCUAAACACAGAGGUGCUGUCAGUUAAAGACAUUAAAGACAAAUAUCAUUCCCAUGUUUUGCAAAUAGAUUUUGCAUUUUUGUCUUUGUAUUGGAUUCUAGUGAUGUCUUUGCCCCGGACAUGUAGGCCACUAUAUAGGCAUGCAUCUGCCUCUACUCUUACACCAUUGAAAAUAGUUGUGUUCAUCAUUCUGCCCUCCAGUUUAUAGAACUCACUUCGUAUCUUUUUUUAGUUGUUAUGGAUAGUCAGCAUGGUAAUGGGGGCUAACCCUAAAAAAAUUUUCUAGUUUGAAUAAACAAUAUCAUACUAAUUGCUCUUUGUGCUUGUGUACUUGUUUUUUAAAUUUUAUGAUGCGUCCUGCUUUCAGAAACAUGAAGAGAAUAAUCUAACUGAAACAAUCC